UUCCCGAAAGGAGGAGGGAGGCCACCUAGGACUCAGGAAGCUCAGAAAGUUAGAAACUGGCAGGAUCCCCAAGGUCGGUAAGCAGUAAACAGCCUUUGAGGGAGCAAGGACUCUCUGGUGGAGCUGCCUGUAAAUCCUGCGGGGGACAUUAGGAAUACAGCCCUCACGAGUUAUCAUCCAGGCUGAGGAAAAUAGCAUGGAGAUAAUAUAUGAUGUGGUACUCAACUUAUUAACAGUAACAGAGAUUGGGAUGCAUGCACAUGGAAGGCAAGAUGAAGAUCAAUUAGCUAUGGACCUUAGUUGGUAUGGUGACAAUGAUUGUUUCUGUUCCUGGAAUCCAGCAGCAUAAAAAAGGGGGCGACACCGGCAUUUCCUCACUUUUCAGGACAGAGUGGUCUACCUAAAAGGGAAAAGAACUGAGUGCUGUAUCAGAUGUCAGGCCUUGACACUGCCCCAUCCAGGAAAGCAGGAAGUCUCUCUCCACGCAGGCUUUCCACUUCUGGUAGUGUUGGCUGCUUUCCAAAGUGGGAAGAAUAAACCAGCACAGCCUUGCCAAGAUGUCUAUAGCAUCCUUCAAACACAUCUUCAAAUCUUCAGAAACACUCAGGGCCUGGUUAAGGAAGAAAUAAUGCUCUAUGGGAACCCCCCAGCACCCUGCCCUGUCACCAAACAAGGUUGGGAUGUAGCUGUUGGUGUGAAAUGCUGAGACUCAGUUGCUCUCGAUCUUAGACACAUUUCAGAAAUCAAACAAAGCUCCACUCUGCUAAUAAAGGAAGUUGUAGAGUCACCACACCAAUCUCCAAACUUGUACAUCAUCAUCAUCAUCAUCAUUAUUAUUAUUGUUGUUAUUUUAUUAUUAUUAUUGUGUGUGUGUAUGUGUGUGUGUGUGUACUUGUUUAUGGACCAAACACAUUGAUAUUUGAGCCUGCUGAUUUCUUUUGCAGAAAGCCCUGUACAUUGUUAACCAAGGGUGUGCAUAACCUUGAGGGGUCUGUGGUGCUGGAAGGCAGGGUCAGUGAAUAGAGUACAGUGGAUGGAGCAGCUCACAGUGGGAAGGAGACAAACAGGUCAAACAAAGAAAGGGAGCAGCUAGCUUAAGGCCUUCUGCUCUGAGGUGAGAUUUUUAAGAGCUAGGAGGCCUGGGUGUAAACAAAGGCCAUAGAUGAGUCACAAAGUCUAUCCAUGGUGACUCUGGGACGUGACCCAGGGGAACGUGGGUAGUGAUGUCUCACUGGCCUGUUGUUAUAAGUGCUGAGUACACAGGUAAAUAAGAGACCCCUGACCUCCUGGGUUUACACUGUCAUACAGAUUGUUCAAACAGAAAUCUGACACCCAAGAACUAUUGACACCCAAGCAUUGAAGAGUCGUGAUCCUGAUGUUGGAGAAGCUUAGAGGAUGCCUAUGAAGUUGGGAAGUUGGGGUGGGAAAGAUCAGUGGGUUUCCGCUGGGUUUUGUGGAGAGAGUAAUGCUGAAUGGCUGUGUACAGAAGUGUAAACACAAGUCAUGGGUUGAAGAAUAGGCAGAAGUAGCCUUCUGUUGAUUCUGGGAUAUACAUGGACCCCCUACAUGCUCACAAAUCCCCGCCCCUCAUCUUUACAUUCAAAGCAUGAAAUCGAAGUAUUUGCAGGAGUAAAAAGAAGACAUUACUAAGGAGGGACAGAUGCUCUAGAGUUUCUGAAACAGAACAGCCCCGCUGUCACGCAAGCUCUAUGUGACACCUGUGUGUGGCUUGCUCUCUCAAUAGAGACAAUAUUUCAUUAGAAAGGCAAGUUCAGGCUGUAAUCAGCAGACUUCAGGAACUUGUGAGCUGCAGCAACACCAUCUUCUGAGAUCUGAGUUCACUUCAAGCACAACUUCCAAGGGCGUUUCCCGAGUGUCUCCUCAGGGCAGGACUCCGGAUGAGAAGGAAAUUAGUUAAGGAGUGUAUCAUGAGUGCAGGACAAAGCUAUCCAUCUGCCAGUUCCCCACCCCCCAAUCCAUUGGCCAUAUUCCUUCCCAUCAUGUACCUGAGCGUUACCCUGUGAACCACAGGAAGAGAACAGAAAUGAGAAAGGAGGACUGCCUCUUGUCUGAGUCACAAAUCCAAGAGCUCUUCCCUGGACCUGCAGCAUGACUUCCAUCAUGACAGUGAACCACAUCUCUUGAGAAAAGCAAUGACUGAUGUCAUCUGAAGACUAAGGUCCCAUGCAAGAUGAGGUCAGCGACAACUCAGCUGCCUUUUAAGGUCUCGUGACUGGGUCCUGACCCAAGCAGCUGUUCCUACUCUUUAUUGGGUGAUCAUUUCUGCAUUUUCUACUCUUUCCUCCUGCACGCUGAGACUAGGAACCUCUCAUCUGUGUCUAUGACUCCCUCACAGUUCUUCAGAUAGGAUUCAGACAAGCAAAGGUGUGGAUUGCAUGAUGGGUAGCAGGAAACCCCUUAGCUGUGUUUGUUCUGCUGUCACAGUACCUGAUUGACACAUGGGGACUGGGAGUAACCCAAGAUCUUCACAGAUGCUUCUAUCGUUUUUCCUGUGUCUACUGGCAUCUAGAUCUUUGAAGUACCAUCAUUAUAGUUACCACUGAUGGUGACAGAGGCGGUGCUAGCAGGAAGAGCCCAGUUGAACUAAGAUUGGAUCCAGACUCUGAGUCUGUCACCCAUUCUCUGGAUGCCUCUCAACGAGUAACUUAACAUCUCAAAUUCUUAAUACCCUUGCUAUAAACUGGAGUUGUAAAAAUAAUAAUGUGUAUUCACUGAAUGUUAUGUACUAGAAAUGUUCUUAGAAUUACUUAUGUAUUAACUAAUUAAAUCUUCUCAAAGCCCAGGAAGGGAUUUACUACUAUUACCCUCAUUUUAUAGAUAAGAUGGUCAAUCUCAGAGCUAAACAUAGUACAUGGCUGUG